GAGCAGAGCGGUUGCGAAGCGGCCCGAUGCGGCCUGGUAAUAAUGGCCGGCUCUCGGUUGUACGUAUGUACACUGCCGUGCAAUGCGCAACGCGCGCACGGCAGGAGAACACACGUUACAUAACUCGUUUACGGUUGCUCGUGCUCGUGCUCAUAGAUUUGGAUACGGUUUCCGUCGCGGUUUGCAAGCUCGUAUGUACGUUUCGCUAAUGCCGCCGCCGCUGCCGCCGCCGCCGCCACCACCACCACCACCACCACCACCACCACCACUACCGCAGAGUAUACGUGCAAAAGUUUCUUCUCUCCAAUCUUUAAUGGCAAAUUAUUUAUUAGAUGCUUUAUUGUUUUAUGAAAUAAUCAAAAAACUUUUAACGUACUAUAUUGAUUAGCGAAACAUCAUUUCCGAUAAGAAUACGAACGCGAGUGAUGGAUCUGUGAUUUCCUUAACGUUUAUUGCAUACAUUCAUAUUGCAUAAUAUAAUGCUAAACUAAUAAUUGAAAGAAAUUGACAAUUGACUGAAAACUUGGUAAUAUUGCCGUUGGAAACAAUUAGAUUGUAGAAUACUAUCGGAAAAUAACGAAUGCUCCGAAUUUCGAAUAGAAAUUCUUAAUUCGUAAUAGAAUUAAAAAGAUCUUACAAAUCUAUUUAUUUAUAUACUUACAUAAUACUCUACAAGUAUUAAAGAAUCUCUGGAUUACAUUGUACCCCUGUGUCUCUCGAUCCUCGAUUAACGAUGUUAAUAGAAAAAAAGAGGCUAGAUUGAGCUAGACGACGACGACGAAACAGUCCCGUCCCUCGAUCAUUCUCUCCGACGUACGUAAACCGUUGCGGACGAUCGAUGACGAAUAGCGGGCUACGGACGAUUUAUUUUAAAUAUAACCGCUCGAUUCAUUGGCCGAUUUGUUACGGGCAUUCCGGGGGCGACGCGAACGGUGUACGCGCGCGCGCGCCCCCUUGUUUCCCUUACGUUGAAAGGGGAGAGACAGACGCGAGGUGCAAUCCGUACAAUGUCACCCCGAAGCGCGCUCGUAAUUCGAAUAUAAUGGACUCCGUUUCUCCCUACCGUAAUACGCGCGCGCCGUAUAUAUCGCCGUCGCUGAAUGCUGUUGUAUUGUCGAUUUCAGCCCUCGCUGCUGAUUCGACACGAUGGUGAACGCGCUGGCAAAACAUAUCGUGCUCUCUCACCCUCGUGUCUCGCGCUCGCCCAAGAUUCCACCAAACAAAAGGAUUUCGUAUUUUGAAUCAACCGGAGAAUAUCAUAUUACGUUACAUUAGAUUUGAACUUUCGAUAAUUACAGCCGUACAGUCAUUCUAGAUAAAAACAAAGUGAAUGUUUAUGGAAAGUCGAGAAAGACUGGUAUACUCGUACUUAUACGUUAUUAUCGUUUGAUUUAGAACACAAAGUCGAGUUCAACUAUAUCAACGUAAACACAUCCACGAUAUACUCGUACUUUCUUUGGAAUAAUAUCUAAACUUGUAUAAUUUCUCAUAAAUUCUCGCGUUAACGUAUAUUGUACAAAAAUUUAAUCAGUACUCUAAAAUUUGAUUUGAAACGACGACUACUUUCUCCAAAGCUGCGGGUUCGUCGAAUUCGUCUCGCCGUUCACUCGCGUACGAGCGGAACGGAAAAAAAAUAAGCGGUUAAAGUAGGCUACUAUUCGUUUACCGGGAUCGUCUCCGCCUACGUCGGCUGCAUUGUUACGGUAAUUUCGUUCCACGACGGUCAGGAAGAGCGCUCUUUCGCCAAGUACGCUCAUUGGCAAGGGAAAGGCACAGGAAAUCGUCCAGGAAACGAUGCGCGCGGUGCUGCGAAAUAUUAGUUUAUAGCAUUGGAGUUUAUAGCCUCGGCUGAGCGGCCGGCGGGCCUACUUGCGAAGGAACAUCCGUCACGGAUGUAUAAUUAAAGCACGAUGGAUGGGACGAUUAACGAGCGCUGUUAUCGGGAUCGUUACGCUCGCUGCUGCGCUACCUAUAUAUAAUAUACGUAAGGAAAUGCCGCGGAAAUACCGCGAGGACGCGUUCCGUUCCGGGUUCUCGCGCUGCUACCUCGUAAUUAUUCCGCCGCUCUCGGUUACGUUCUUAGCGGAAUCGACACGCGGAUGGCUCUAACAAGACUGUGUUGUCUCGCUGACUAAUAUGAUCAUCAAUUUGUUCUAUAUGUCUCUGACUUUUUCAAAUUUUUCUAUUCAAUUUUCAUAUUUCCUCCCCAUUUCGUAUUCUCUCUCGCUAUCGUCCGAUCAUUUUGUUUCAUUUAUAUUUUCCGUUCAUUGUCGUUAGAAUUAAUUUGUUCCAUGUUUGUAUUACUUAAAGUUUAAUUUGUUAGAACCGUUUCGUUCUACCUUCGUACCAAACGUGAACGUAAAACGAUUGGAGUUUAUUAUUCCUUCUAUCUCUACCUCGAAACGUUAUAUUAUUGCUAAAUUCCAUAUAUUAUUGCUAAAUUUCAGUAAUCUCAUUCUUGAUAAAUUCAAGAAAAGAAGUUAAUAUUUUUUUAUGUUUAUGAUAUAUAAUUCUAGAAUGCAUAUUCUCACCACUUCUGUUCAACAUAUACGUGGAGAAAAUAUUUCAAUUGCUACUAAAAGAUCAAAGAUCAGAUAUAAAAGUAAAUGGAAUCCGUAUUAACAACCUGCGCUAUGCAGAUGACACAGCGAUACUGGCUGAGAACAUCCAAGAUUUACAAGCAAUAUUGAACACCGUCAAUGUAGCAGGGAAAGAAUAUGGCCUCAUCAGCAUCAAUGUAAGCAAAACCAAAUUAAUGUAAGGUGGCAAGCUCACGAAAAUGCAAAUCUCUUCUUGAAUGAUCAACCAAUUAAAAGAGUAAAUAAUUUCAAAUAUUUAAAUCUCUACACUUAACGCUAAGUGAGAUAACGAUGGAGAGAUCAAGACAAGAAUAGCAGUGGCCAAGAAUACCUUUACUAAGUUCAAUACAAUAGAAGCCUACUACUGGGAUCUAGAUACAACCUCCUCAAAAUCAUUCUCACCGGAAAGAUCGAGGGCACAAACAGAGGACAAGGGCGCAAACAACACUCAUGACUCCAUGCAACAUCGGGAAUUGGUGUGACAUCUCAAAGGCUGCCACUUUAUUCAAACGUACAGAAAAAGGCACGCUAAACAUACGCUACGCUAAGCGUAUGGCACUAUAAGAAGAUAUAAUUCUAAAUAUAUAAUAUAGAGAAAAACAUUUCUAAACUUAUUCUCUUGUGUUCUUCAAUAAAUAAACAAAUGGAGACAUAAUUUUCCGAAGAGUUAAAAGUAAGUAAGAACGAAGUAAUAUAGUUGUUAAACAGCAAUA